AUGGAGGGAGAUGGUGACACUGUGACGGCGCCGUUGCUGGAGUUCAUCGAUGACCGGUCAGCUGCCUCGGAGGAGCUGCUGCGGCGGGAGCCGGUGCCAUUCAACGUGCUGUCGCGGCUGGCAUUGUGGGAGGCCGGCAACCUGUGGCGCAUCUCAUGGGCGUCCAUCCUCAUCACGCUCUUCAGCUUCACUCUCAGCCUCGUCACACAGAUGUUCGUUGGCCACCUUGGUGAGCUGGAGCUUGCCGGGGCCUCCAUCACCAACAUCGGCAUCCAGGGCCUAGCCUAUGGCAUCAUGCUCGGCAUGUCGACUGCAGUGCAGACGGUGUGCGGCCAGGCCUACGGUGCGAGGAGGUACAGGGCGAUGGGCGUUGUUUGCCAGAGAGCGCUCCUCCUCCAGUUUGUGACGGCCGUCGCCAUCACUUUCUUCUACUGGUACUCUGGCCCAUUCCUGCGGCUCAUUGGGCAGGCUGAGGACGUGGCUGUGGCGGGGCAGCUGUAUGCUCGUGGGCUGGUGCCGCAGCUGCUCGCGUUUGCACUCUUCUGCCCGAUGCAGAGGUUCCUGCAGGCUCAGAACAUCGUCAACCCCGUGGCGUACAUGGUGCUUGCUGUGCUUGUCUUCCACAUCCUCAUCUCGUGGCUCGCUGUCUUCGUUCUCAGCUUUGGCCUUCUCGGCGCGGCUCUGACGCUGAGCUUCUCUUGGUGGGUGCUUGUGGCGUUGACAUGGGCGUACAUCAUCUGGAGCCCGGCUUGUAAGGAGACGUGGACCGGGUUGUCCAUGCUCGCUUUCAGAGGCCUCUGGGGAUAUGCCAAGCUCGCCUUUGCGUCGGCUGUUAUGCUAGCAUUGGAGGUCUGGUACGUGCAAGGAUUUGUGCUUCUGACUGGCUUCCUCCCCAACUCGGAGAUUGCUCUUGAUUCACUCUCUAUCUGCAUCAACUACUGGAACUGGGACUUCCAAAUCAUGCUUGGUUUAAGCUAUGCGGCCAGUAUCCGCGUCGGCAACGAGCUUGGCGCUGGCCAUCCAAAGGUCGCGAGGUUGUCGGUCCUGGUGGUCGUCACGGCGAGCAUCGCCUUCAGCAUUCUCGCCACGAUCGUCGUCAUGGCCCUCAGGUACCCGCUGAGCACCCUCUACACGAGUAGCACGACGGUGAUUGAGGCUGUCAUUGCACUGAUGCCGUUGCUGGCCAUCAGCAUCUUCUUGAAUGGGAUCCAGCCAAUCCUCUCAGGAGUGGCCGUCGGGAGCGGGUGGCAAGUCAUAGUUGCCUAUGUCAAUGUCGGGGCUUACUACAUCAUCGGUCUGCCAAUCGGAUGCGUUCUAGGGUUCAAAACAAGCCUGGGAGCAGCUGGGAUCUGGUGGGGCUUGAUCAUAGGGGUCGCAGUGCAGACGGUGGCACUGAUCGUCAUCACGGCCAGGACCAACUGGGAGAGCGAGGUGGAGAAGGCGAUCCAGCGGCUGCGGCACACCGCCGCAGACGAGGGUGGCAUGGUGGUCGACGGCGACGUCUAA
rnacentral:rRNA from 1 species